UGAGGAAUAUUGGUCAAUGGAGGCAACUCUGAACCAGCCAUGCCGCGUGCAGGAAGAAUGUCCUAUGGAUUGUAAACUGCUUUUGUACGGGAAGAAAAAGAACUACGAGUAGUUUAUUGACGGUACCGUAAGAAUAAGGAUCGGCUAACUCCGUGCCAGCAGCCGCGGUAAUACGGAGGAUCCGAGCGUUAUCCGGAAUCAUUGGGUUUAAAGGGUCCGUAGGUGGACGGUUAAGUCAGGGGUGAAAGUCUGCAGCUCAACUGUAGAAUUGCCCCUUGAUACUGGCUGUCUUGAGUUACUAUGAAGUGGUUAGAAUAUGUGGUGUAGCGGUGAAAUGCAUUAGAUAUCACAUAGAAUACCAAUUGCGAAGGCAGAUCACUAAUAGUACACUGACACUGAUGGACGAAAAGCGUGGGGAGCG
rnacentral:rRNA from 1 species